rnacentral:rRNA from 1 species
CCAAUAGCGUAUAUUAAAGUUGCUGCAGUUAAAAAGCUCGUUGAAUUUCGGAACCAAUAUGUUGGUUGUGCCUCGGUACGUACUGGCAUUGUUGGUUUCUCCCUUCUGACGAACUAUGAUGUCAUUAAUUUGGUGUCAUGGGGAAUCAGGACUGUUACUUUGAAAAAAUUAGAGUGUUUAAAGCAGGCUCACGCUUGAAUACAUUAGCAUGGAAUAAUGAAAUAGGACGUUUGAUUCUAUUUUGUUGGUUUCUAGGAUUGACGUAAUGAUUAAUAGGGAUAGUUGGGGGCAUUAGUAUUCAAUUGUCAGAGGUGAAAUUCUUGGAUUUAUUGAAGACUAACUACUGCGAAAGCAUUUGCCAAGGAUGUUUUCAUUAAUCAAGAACGAAAGUUAGGGGAUCGAAGACGAUCAGAUACCGUCGUAGUCUUAACCAUAAACUAUGCCGACUAGGGAUCGGAUGAUGUUAAUUUUUUAAUGACUCAUUCGGCGCCUUAC